AUUCCCUUAGUAGCGGCGAGUGAAGCGGGAAGAGCCCAUCGCCGAAUCCCCGAGCCCGACCGGGCCCGGGGAGCUGUGGCGUGAGGCGGCUUCGGGCACGCGAGGUUCCGGCGCCGAGGUCCUCCUGAUAGGGGCGCCUUUUACCCAGAGCGGGUGUCAGGCCCGUUCGGGCCCCGGACCUCUCGGGCCUGGAGUCACCAAGAGUCGGGUAGUUUUGGAAUGCUGCCCAAAGAGGGGUGGUGAACUCCAUCCAAGGCUAAAUACUGGCACGAGACCGAUAGCAGACAAGUAC
rnacentral:rRNA from 1 species